AGAUGGCUCAGUGGUUGAGAGCACUGACUGCUCUGCCAGAGGACCUGGGUUCAAUUCCUGGUCU
rnacentral:tRNA from 1 species